rnacentral:rRNA from 1 species
UACGUAGGGCGCAAGCGUUGUCCGGAAUUAUUGGGCGUAAAGAGCUCGUAGGCGGUUUGUCGCGUCUGCUGUGAAAACCUAAGGCUCAACCUUGGGCUUGCAGUGGGUACGGGGCAGACUAGAGUGCGGUAGGGGUGACUGGAAUUCCUGGUGUAGCGGUGGAAUGCGCAGAUAUCAGGAGGGAACACCCGGUGGCGAAGGCGGGUCUCUGGGCCGAUACUGACGC